rnacentral:lncRNA from 1 species
GACAUCAGAAUACAACUCAAUGCACAUCACGCCAUUAGACAGCAUGAGUGACCAGACGCAGGGAGGAUAUAUCAGACAGCACCAGAUCUUAGCUGGUAGGAAGCUGAUUGACAAGUUCUGUGGAGGACAGAGCAGCAGGGCCCUGAAGUCCACAGCGAUAAGGGGAAGAUGGUGUUCUAAACACACCAGCAGGGAACAGCCAAACCUGGAUGGUCAGUUUGACCUCCCAGUGUAAGGAGCCUCUGGGUCUUCUCUACCUCUCCCAGGACCACCACAGUGAAACUAGAGCCAGAGGGCUCUUUGCUGAAAAGAGGGUGAGUGAGAUGGAGAGAUGCAGAUGAAAGGAGGCUUUGUGCAGAAGCCAUCAGAUUUUGCCAAAUCUAAAGCCUGGAAAAAGGAGGAUACCAGCUGAUAGGAUUUGGCUCUAUGUCCCCAGCCAAAUCUCAUGUGGAAUUGUAAUCCCCACGUGUUGGAGGAGGGGCCUGGUGGGAGGUGAUUGGACCAUGGGGACAGUUUCUAAUGGUUUAGUGCCAUCCCCCUAGUGCUGUCUCCCGAUGGAAUUCUCAUGAGAUCUGGUUGUUUAAAAGUGUGUAGCACUUCUCCCUUCUCUUUCUCCUGCUGCCACGUGAAGAAGGUCCUUGCUUCCCCUUCGCCUUCUGCCAUGAUUAUAAGCUUCCUGAGGCCUCCCAGUCAUUAUUCCUGUUAAGCCCGCAGAACUGUGAGUCAAUUAAACUUCUUCUCUUCAUGAA